UACAGAGGGUGCAAGCGUUGUUCGGAAUUAUUGGGCGUAAAGCGCGUGUAGGCGGCUUUUGCAAGUCGGGGUGUGAAAAGCCCCUCAGCUCAACUGAGGAAGUGCGCCCCGAAACUGCAGAGCUUGAGUGCCGGAGAGGGGUGGCGGAAUUCCCCCAAGUAGAGGUGAAAUUCGUAGAUAUGGGGGAGGAACACCGGUGGCGAAGGCG
rnacentral:rRNA from 1 species